AUUUCUCUAGUACAAACUACAAUAUAGGAGACUUCCAAUCACCAGAUCUUGGCUAAAAACCAAGGAGAAAUA
rnacentral:tRNA from 1 species